GGGGGUAUAGCUCAGGGUUAGAGCAUCCGACUGCAGACCAAGAGGCCCCCAGUUCGAUUCCAGAUACCCCCU
rfam:Nomascus leucogenys chromosome 13, whole genome shotgun sequence.